UCGAGUGAGUGGCAGACGGGUGAGUAACGCGUGGGAACGUGCCUCAAGGUACGGAAUAGCACCGGGAAACUGGUGGUAAUACCGUAUAUCUCCUUCGGGAGAAAGAUUUAUCGCCUUGGGAUCGGCCCGCGUUGGAUUAGCUAGUUGGUGGGGUAAAGGCCUACCAAGGCGACGAUCCAUAGCUGGUCUGAGAGGAUGAUCAGCCACACUGGGACUGAGACACGGCCCAGACUCCUACGGGAGGCAGCAGUGGGGAAUAUUGGACAAUGGGCGCAAGCCUGAUCCAGCCAUGCCGCGUGAGUGAAGAAGGCCUUCGGGUUGUAAAGCUCUUUCACUGGCGAAGAUGAUGACGGUAGCCAGAGAAGAAGCCCCGGCUAACUUCGUGCCAGCAGCCGCGGUAAUACGAAGGGGGCAAGCGUUGUCCGGAAUUACUGGGCGUAAAGGGCGUGUAGGCGGAAUGCCAAGUUAGAUGUGAAAGCCCCGGGCUCAACCUGGGAAUU
rnacentral:rRNA from 1 species